UACCUGGUUGAUUCUGCCAGUAGUCAUAUGCUUGUCUCAAAGAUUAAGCCAUGCAUGUCUAAGUAUAAGCAAUUUAUACCGUGAAACUGCGAAUGGCUCAUUAAAUCAGUUAUCGUUUAUUUGAUAGUACCUUACUACUUGGAUAACCGUGGUAAUUCUAGAGCUAAUACAUGCUAAAAGCCCCGACUUCGGAAGGGGUGUAUUUAUUAGAUAAAAAACCAAUGCCCUCCGGGGCUCCUUGGUGAUUCAUAAUAACUUAACGAAUCGCAUGGCCUUGUGCCGGCGAUGGUUCAUUCAAAUUUCUGCCCUAUCAACUUUCGAUGGUAGUAUAUGGGACUACCAUGGUUUCAACGGGUAACGGGGAAUUAGGGUUCUAUUCCGGAGAGGGAGCCUGAGAAACGGCUACCACAUCCAAGGAAGGCAGCAGGCGCGCAAAUACCCAAUCCCG
rnacentral:ncRNA from 1 species